rnacentral:lncRNA from 1 species
GGCUUGCGGGAGGGGAAACCCACUCGUAAGGGGUGCUCGAGUGUAGCUAAUAAACAACACAUAAAACUCGUUAAACAUUUUCGAAAUGCAGCAAUUUUUAUGUAAAUUCCAGAAAUUGUUCGUUUUUGUUGGGGCGCCGCCGCACAGCUAAUAAAGGAUCAAGGAUUGCCCAGUGCCCAGUGCCCUGGCCUCUCAAAUCUCCUUUAUUGUUUGCCCUUCCCUUUUGGGGUUGCUUCUCUCUCUUUUUUUUUUGUUCGUUUUUCGUUUUUAAUUUAAAAUCGAAUACAUUUUCA